GGUGAUGAAGCUAUUAAAGAAGAAAAUCCAUCUAGAGCUUGAUGUUAAGAGUCUCAAAGAAGCAAAACAAGAAAAUCAAGCCAAUAACUCCGCUAAUUUGCUACCAGUUUAAGGCAACAGCGGGUGGUAGAGGGCGUGGCAUGCAUCUUGCUAAGGUUGUGAAGUUGUUACAGGUAGACAUUCUCACACAUGGGAGGAGCAUUUAAGUCCAAGAAACUAUUGCUGCUGUCCCCACUAUCUUCCUCAACUAGAGCAUUUAAAUCAAAAGGUGUGCAGUAAUUUUCCAUGGUGGAAGGUAGUGGUGGAAAGAUGAAGAAGAUUGUGGUCCCGUGCGUUUUUGUUCUUUUGCUCAAUUUGUUUUUUCUAUCAUUUUUAUAAGAAUGUAACUAGCCAAAAAUUCCCCUCCCACCAAUUUCAUUUUGGC